UACAGAGACCUCAAGCGUUAUCCGGAAUCAUUGGGCGUAAAGCGUGCCGAUAGGUGGUCAUGAUAGUUUUGGGUAAAAGCCAGAAGCUCAACUUCUGCGUUUGCUCAAAAUACUUCACGACUAGAGGGGCAAAGAGGUGCUUGGAACGAAUGGUGUAGUAGUGAAAUGCGUUGAUAUCAUUCGGAACACCGAAAGCGAAGGCAGAGCACUGGGUGCCACCUGACACUGCUAGGACGAAAGCGUGGGGAGCGAAUGGG
rnacentral:rRNA from 1 species